ACGUUUUUACAGAACUGUCAACACCACGAAACCCAACACUGUGAUCUGACAGCGCAAGGUCGUUGCAUAUUUUGUUGUGACUCUUUGGCGUCGUGCAGAACACAACUGGAAGGGGUAUUUGAUGCUUUUCCUUAAACAUUUGUACAAAACGUGAAAGUCAACGAACACAAGCUGAGAGUCAACACAAGGGUGUGUGUUUGUGUUUAGAGAAAAUACAAACAUAAAUCAGGCGUCGAUUGCGUGUGUGUACGUCUAGUAUAAUAAAUAGAACGGAAUCAAAUUGCUAUAAAAUGAACUUUAUUUGAACUUUA
rnacentral:sRNA from 1 species